UGAUUUCUGGUGAGAACUAAUACCUUGGAGGAGGGAGCCAAUGCAAACUUGGGAGGGAAACGUAAAAAGUGUGGAACUCUCAGAAUUAAAUGUUCUGGCUGUGAGGUUUGUCUUAGUUCCUGAGAGUGAAUCCCCUUAGUCUGCAUCUCCGGAGAGUGAUCCCCAAAGUCUGGGAACCUGCGUUUGGUGUCCCUUGAUACUGUGGGAUAAAUAGGUUGUUUCCUUUUAAUUGCACUUAGUACACCAGUUUAGAAAUUAUGUGCCAUGAUUCCAUGUUAGACAUAUAUACCCUUGCAUAGAUCCCUAAUAUACAGUAAUAAAACCUGAAAGGAAGACAAUUGUUGACAUCUUUGUUUCCUGCUAAAUUUGAAUAAGAAUGUUAACAUCCAUAGAACGAAUAUUCAGGAAAAUAUAGGGGCCUUGGUCAGUUCAGGUAUUUUCCCAAUCUCUUCUACUUCUGCCCCUGAGAGGAAAGUCCUGGUUCUUUGAAGUUUUUGUUUGCUUACUUUCUGUUUCUCUAAACCAUGAGUUUUACUAGCUUUGUUGGGUAUUUGUGACAAUAGCUUUCUUGAUUUUUGUUCCUCAUCUGCUAAUUCUUGGCCUUUUUGGUUACAUUAUGGCAAAAUGCUGUCAUGUUAUAGAUUGUGUAUAGACUGUACUUCUGUAGGAAAUAUUGAUAGUUAAAAUGGAUUGUCUAUCUUUGCUUCCAUAUCUACUGAUUUUUGUGCUUUUUCAACACUUGAAGUGACCUUAUUUAUUUAUUUUCUCCAUCUAGUGUUAGCUGAUGUUUCUGCACAAUGACAUAUGGAUAACUAUUACUUACCCUUGGUUGGGUAUUUAUACCGUUGUAUUUAUUUGUUCUGAUAAGCACUGGGCAAUCCUUGCAGUUUUGUAAGCAUUUUUCUUAAAUAUUCGGAUGCUCUAUCUAUGAACACUGAUAUGAAACACUGUACUAUCCUCAUAGAAAAUGAAUCUGAUAUUGCGAUUCCUCUGGCUUUGUUUUGUUCUUUUAGUUUGUAUUUAUUUGUUCUGAUAAACACUGGGCAAUCCUUGCAGUUUUGUAAGCAUUUUUCUUAAAUAUUCUGAUGCUCUAUCUAUGAAUGCUGAUAUGAAACACUGUACUAUCCUCAUAGAAAAUGAUCUGCUCAUCUCACUGUGUAACCCUUUUAAAUUUUCUGACACAAAUCCUGAUUAACCUGAAGUGCAUAUUGCUUUUCCAGGCUUCAAUGUAAUGGUGUUAUAAUGGACCAUGUUUCUGCAUAUUUUCUAUUUAAUCAUUUUAUAUCUUCUUUCUAUUUUACUUUUGAAAUCUGUACAUAUGUUUCUUAGGUUCACAAAAAUGUAAUGUAUUCAGCACAUAAAAUUGGUUUGGAACACUAUUUCUCUGGAAGCUCAGAUAUCUUAUAAAAGAACGUUCUCAACUCUUU
rnacentral:lncRNA from 1 species